CUUUUAUUGUGUUUGACAGUGAUGACAACAUAGUAUGCACUGAAUAAAAUGACUAAUGCACAUAUUUCUCUCUCACACACACACAGCUUCCAUUUUUCUCAUGGACCUCCAGCAUGAAAGAGUCACAUAAAAAGCAUGCAGAGUGGGAGUUCAAGUUGGCCAGAGUAAAAAUUACCCAUGAAUUCCAGACUUCCAGAGCAGCAAAAGUUUAUUCAAUGGAAGAACAACUUGGGGCUCUUUCUGGAAGCAUUCAAUGUUUUUCUAAGAGAGAACACAAAAACAAAAACAAGGGGGAUGGAAGAAGGCUCCAAGCUCUGUUGAGAAACAGGAAAUGGUGUGAAACCCCAUUUGCCCUCUCGGCUGUGAAGAAGUUUGUAGAAGGACAGUAACUCCGCAUGUUGUUGUAUAAACCACCAACAGAUAUGCCAGAGGUCAGGAUCAAUGGGAGGCAAGGAGAUUCUUGUGAACUGGGACAUGCUACCAUGGUAAAGACUUUUUUUUUUUUAGUUAAGAGUAUAAGGACUGCACCAUUGGACAAAAAAGCAAGUAACCUCACACAGAAAGAACCUCAUGAUUGGCUGGACUACACAAAAUUGUAUUGGCUGUACCUGAGGAAGCUGAGCCCUUCUCCUCAGUGUGAAUGCUGUGACAGGGAACUUUUGAGAUGGAAAUAAAACAGAAAAAAAUAUCCUAAAGGGAAAUAGUGGAACACCUCUAAACUCAGUUCCCUUUCAACUCUCAGCAGAACAAAAAGAAUAUGGGAACUUAAAAGAGUCUUACAUUUGCUCAAUGAAGUCCUUUUUGUAAUUCAAAGGACUGGGAGAAAUGAUUUCCCAGUAUAAACAGGCAAAGGUAAAGCUACUCUCUCAAAUAGCCAUUGAAAAAAAAGAGGACAUACCUCUUCCAAAGGUUUGUGAUAAUAUUUAUGAUAAUGGCCAUAUUCAUCAGAAGAGUAUUGUUUCUUGAAAUAUAAAUGAAAGGUCUGUUCAAAUGUGAUUCAUGACAUCAUUUAACAUGUCAGAUUUUUAUUCCUCGAAAAAUCUGGGAAAGGAAAAUGAAUCCAGCUUGAAGAGCCAAGAAAUGAUGUGUUUUUACACUUUGGGGAAGUGUAAAAAUGACAGAACCUGUAGGGUAAUCUUUCUGAGAGACCAGAUGACCUGAAGAAUAAUAUAGACAGAUUGUACUAAGGGGAGAGAGAUGGAAGAAACACAAAAACCAAAACCAAAAUCUUUACUGUAAAAGAGAUAGUUGAGAACUUUGAAAUAAAAAUUCAGAUUCUUAAGUCUUGAAUAUCUUU
rnacentral:lncRNA from 1 species